UUAAAUUGAAGAGUUUGAUCAUGGCUCAGAUUGAACGCUGGCGGCAGGCCUAACACAUGCAAGUCGAACGGUAACAGGAAACAGCUUGCUGUUUCGCUGACGAGUGGCGGACGGGUGAGUAAUGUCUGGGAAACUGCCUGAUGGAGGGGGAUAACUACUGGAAACGGUAGCUAAUACCGCAUAACGUCGCAAGACCAAAGAGGGGGACCUUCGGGCCUCUUGCCAUCGGAUGUGCCCAGAUGGGAUUAGCUAGUAGGUGGGGUAACGGCUCACCUAGGCGACGAUCCCUAGCUGGUCUGAGAGGAUGACCAGCCACACUGGAACUGAGACACGGUCCAGACUCCUACGGGAGGCAGCAGUGGGGAAUAUUGCACAAUGGGCGCAAGCCUGAUGCAGCCAUGC
rnacentral:rRNA from 1 species